rnacentral:rRNA from 1 species
UACGGGGGGGGGGGUAAGCGUUGUUCGGAAUUACUGGGCGUAAAGGGCUCGUAGGCGGCCAACUAAGUCAUACGUGAAAUCCCUCGGCUUAACCGGGGAACUGCCUCUGAUACUGGAUGGCUUGAGUUUGGGAGAGGGAUGCGGAAUUCCAGGUGUAGCGGUGAAAUGCGCAGAUAUCAGGAGGAACACCAGCGGCGAAGGCGGCGCUCUGGGCCGGAACUGACGCUGAGGAGCGAAAGCGUGGGGAGCAAACAGG